AUGCAGGGGGGAGCCCGAGGCCCCGGGCUCCCUUGGUCCCAUCUGCGCCUGCGUCACGGCUCCAGCACCAGGCCCUGCACCGCGCCUCCGUCCAUGCCGGCUGCCCGUCGUGCCUGCUGCGUCCCUCGCGGCCGGGCAGCCCCUACGUGGCUGGGCUCCUGCGCGCCUGGCCGGCUUCCGCUUCUCCUGCUGCCCGGCGGGCUUUCGGCUGCCCGCGCGCUCGAUGGCCGGGGUCGACUCCCCGAGCGCCUGUUUAGCUCCCUCGCUGCCUCCGCGAGCCGCCUCACCUGGCCGUCCAGGCCAUCGGCUCCCCACCUCGCCCGCAAGACGGCCUCGCACCCUGUGCCUACGCAUCGCCCGCGCAUGCCUGCAGUCCGCCCCGUGCUGGUGCCGACUGCUUCAUGCCCACCUCCGCGCCUCGCUGCCCCCGGCCUGCCGGCUCCCGCUCAACUCGUGGCUGGCUUCUGGCCCCGGCCCGCAACAGCAGGCGUCUGCUUGGCGGCUCUGCCUCUGCUCCGGCGCGCCUCCACCGGCUUCACCAUGCCGCCUCACGCGGCACAGCCGGCCUCGCCGCGCCCGCCUGUUCCCGCAGCCGGCUUGCCACCAGUCGGCCUCGUGCGUGCGCGGUGUGUCCCCGUGCCGGCCCACCGCGCCGCUUCCCGUCCCGGCCUCACGAGCAACCCGGCCCCCUCAGUCGGCCUCCCCUGCGCCGGCUGCUGCGGUCCCGCUCCAGCCGCCUGCUGCGGCCGGGUUCCCGAAGAAAAGUCAAAGCCGGGUACUCAAAAAAAAUGGAGGGUCCGGCUCGCCGCGUGGAGCUGGACAGAAAGAGAAGAGAAGGUCGGCUUCUCGAUAGUCAGCUGGAAAAAAAAGAGAAGAAAGAAAUGUGCGUCCGACUACCAGAUGUGCGUCCGACCUCUGGCUGCCUGGCUGGCUACAAAAAGGCCGACUGCUGUGUUGGAGUACGCUGCCCAGCUGGCUGAAAAAAAAGAGCCUGCCGACUGGAGCUGA
rnacentral:rRNA from 1 species